rnacentral:rRNA from 1 species
AUUGAACGCUGGCGGCAUGCUUUACACAUGCAAGUCGGACGGCAGCACAGAGAAGCUUGCUUCUUGGGUGGCGAGUGGCGAACGGGUGAGUAACAUAUCGGAACGUACCGAGCAGUGGGGGAUAACUAAUCGAAAGAUUAGCUAAUACCGCAUAUAUUCUGAGGGAGAAAGCAGGGGACCAUUUGGCCUUGCGCUGUUUGAGCGGCCGAUAUCUGAUUAGCUAGUUGGUGGGGUAAAGGCCUACCAAGGCGACGAUCAGUAGCGGGUCUGAGAGGAUGAUCCGCCACACUGGGACUGAGACACGGCCCAGACUCCUACGGGAGGCAGCAGUGGGGAAUUUUGGACAAUGGGCGCAAGCCUGAUCCAGCCAUGCCGCGUGUCUGAAGAAGGCCUUCGGGUUGUAAAGGACUUUUGUCAGGGAAGAAAAGGGCGGGGUUAAUACCCCUGUCUGAUGACG